UAGCAGCAUGGGUGCCGUUACUGUAAUGGUUAGUUGUGGAAUAAAGUAGGAAGGAAACAAGACAAUUAGUUUUGCUUAGUAUUUGCUUCUUUUUAGUUGCGUUGGGACAGAAAUGGGAACGCGGGAAUUGAGACGGAGAAACAUAUAAAAAACAUACAUAAAUUUGUAAGUAAUUUCCAAUAGAGCAAUGUAUAAUAAUUAUGUUAAAAC